rfam:Oryza glaberrima chromosome 12 Oglab12_0131_14, whole genome shotgun sequence.
AAAAAGGCAAACCAUGGAUUUCCGUACCAACGUUUGACUGUCCGUCUUAUAUGAAACUUUUUUAUAAUUAGUAUUUUCAUUGUUGUUAGAUGAUAAAACAUGAUUAAUACUUUAUGCGUGACUUAUCUUUUUAAUUUUUUCAUAAUUUUUUCAAAUAAGACGGACGGUCAAACGUUGGACACGGAAACCAGGGUUUGUCUUUUU